GUCAGCAUGGCCGUUACCGUUCCACGGGCUACACAACGUGCUACAAUGGUCGGUACGAGAAGGGAAAGCAAUACCGCGAGGUGGAGCAAAUCCCAAAAAACCGGCCUCAGUUCAGAUUGCAGUCUGCAACUCGACUGCAUGAAGCCGGAAUCGCUAGUAAUCGUGGAUCAGCAUGCCACGGUGAAUACGUUCCCGGGUCUU
rnacentral:rRNA from 1 species